UACGGAGGGAGCUAGCGUUGUUCGGAAUUACUGGGCGUAGAGCGCGCGUAGGCGGCUUUGUAAGUUAGAGGUGAAAGCCCGGGGCUCAACUCCGGAACUGCCUUUAAGACUGCAUCGCUAGAAUCCGGGAGAGGUGAGUGGAAUUCCGAGUGUAGAGGUGAAAUUCGUAGAUAUUCGGAAGAACACCAGUGGCGAAGGCGGCUCACUGGACCGGUAUUGACGCUGAGGUGCGAAAGCGUGGGUAGCGAACAGG
rnacentral:misc_RNA from 1 species